CCCCACCCAGAUCUCAUCUUGAAUUCCCAUGUGUUGUGGGAGGGACCCCGUGGCGGGUAAUUGAAUCAUGGGGCAGGUCUUUCCCAUGCUGUUCUCAUGAUAGUAAGUCUCACGAGAUCUGAUGGUUUUAAAAAGAGGAGUUCCCCUGCACAAGCUCUCUGUUUGCCUGCUGCCAUCCAUAUAAGCUGUGACUUGCUCUUCCUUGCCUUCUGCCAUGAUCAUGAGGCUUCCUUAGCCAUGUGGAACUGCAAGUCUAAUUAGACCUCUUUCUUUUGUAAAUUGCCCAGUCUCACGUACAUCUUUUCCAGCAGCGUGAAAAUGAACUAAUACACCUGCCACAAGGGCUGCCCCUGAACCCCGAACCCCAA
rnacentral:lncRNA from 10 species